UACGAAGGGGGCUAGCGUUGCUCGGAAUUACUGGGCGUAAAGCGUGCGCAGGCGGUUAUUUAAGUCAGGUGUGAAAGCCCUGGGCUUAACCUAGGAAUUGCGCUUGAGACUGGAUAUGCUUGGAGUGCGGCAGAGGGAGGUGGAAUUCCGACGUGUAGCAGUGAAAUGCGUAGAGAUGAUGGAGGAACACCGAUGGCGAAGGCAGCCUCCUGGGCCAGCACUGACGCUCAUGCACGAAAGCGUGGGGAGC
rnacentral:rRNA from 1 species